AUCUUUUCGUCAUUUUUAAGUGAUGACUGGGCAUUCACACAUGUGUGAGAUGUGCCUCCCUGAAACCUUGUUAUGACAUCAGCACUUUAACCAUCUGACA
ensembl:snoRNA